AGCAGAGUGGUGCAGUGGAAGCGUUUUGGGCCCGUAACUAAGAGGUCCAUGGAUCGAAACCACGCUCUGCUA